AGCUUCCAGUGGCAAAUACCGCUGACACUCGCAGUGGGAAACUCCAGUCACAUAUCAACAGAGACCAUCAUCUGGGUCUCCAAUAAAACAGAGACGCACAGAGUGGGUCACAUGGAUGGCGAGACGUGGUUGCUGGGCAACAUCAAUCAAACGGGCUACUUCAGAGUGAACUACGACCUUCACAACUGGAGACUUCUCAUUCAACAGCUGAAGACCAAUCCAACGAUCAUCUCUGUGGGCAACAGGGCCGGUCUGAUUGAUGACGUCUUCAACCUGGCGAGGGGCUCGUUCACCUACCAGUGAGGAAAACUCUUGCAGUAUAAAAUCCUGUUGAGACCAAGUCUGGAUUUUCAGCAAAAAAAACACAUCAAACAGAUUACAAAAUGAAACAAUGUAUCUCUAUGAACUUCACUAUGG